AGGGUUCGAUUCUGGACUCAGGAUGAACGCUAGCUACAGGCUUAACACAUGCAAGUCAGGGGCAGCAUUGGAGUAGCAAUACUUCAGAUGGCGACCGGCGGCACGGGUGAGUAACACGUAUCCAACCUGCCGCUUACUCGGGGAUAGCCUUUCGAAAGAAAGAUUAAUACCCGAUGGUAUAAAGAGUUCGCAUGUUCUCUUUAUUAAAGAAUUUCGGUAAGACGAUGGGGAUGCGUUCCAUUAGAUUGUUGGCGGGGUAACGGCCCACCAAGUCUACGAUGGAUAGGGGUUCUGAGAGGAAGGUCCCCCACAUUGGAACUGAGACACGGUCCAAACUCCUACGGGAGGCAGCAGUGAGGAAUAUUGGUCAAUGGACGAGAGUCUGAACCAGCCAAGUAGUCCGGUGAAGGAUGACUGCCCUAUGGGUUGUAAACUUCUUUUAUAAGGGAAUAAAGUGAGGGACGUGUCCCUUUUUGUAUGUACCUUAUGAAUAAGGAUCGGCUAACUCCGUGCCAGCCGCUGC
rnacentral:rRNA from 1 species